UCCCUCAGUGUUUAUAAAUCCGUUCCCUCCGUUUUUAUAAAUCCGUUCCCUCCGUUUUUAUAAAUCCGUUCCCUCCGUUUUUAUAAAUCCGUUCCCUCCGUUUUUAUAAAUCCGUUCCCUCAGUGUUUAUAAAUCUGUUCGUCAUUUUCUAAUAGUAUUCUAUGUUGUUCUAGACACAGCAGACACGGGGUUUUCUUUCUUCAAGUUGAACUUUUCUCAGGAGUUUAAGUCAUCUGGUGGGCGUGGUUGAGUGCGCAGGUGCGUCAUUCAAACCGAGCGAGAUGACCGUUGAGGAUCAGACAGCGCGAGACAGCUCCUUUCAGGGUGGUUCCUACUAGGUCUGCUAAUGGGACCGCCCUCCUGACUGGCUGCCUAUAAAGUCACCCGCUCCAGCGGUGCUGAGCAGCGAGAUGUCACAGAGAAGAGUGUGUCCAGUUUGUCGGCGUUUCUACACCAACGUGCAGGCUCAUCUCGCCCAGAUUCAUCAGCAGGGUCCAGAGGAACGCUGGCUUCACCUGGCGGCAGCGAGCGAGCGGGUGAUAUGCGGAUGCUCUGGACUGCCCGGUGUCUGCAUGCGGCAAGAAAGGUUUCCGCCGGCUAGACUGCCACCUGUUCCACCUUCACCAGCUCGCCGGGGACACGGUCAGGAAGCUACUGCUCAGCGCCAAAAUAAAGCUGCAACAACUGCAAGCUUUCGGUGAGACGAACAAAUCUAAAAGUUGCAAAUGUUCUGAACUGAUCGAAAAGUAGCAAAACUCUCCGCAGAAUUUGUGCGGCUGCAAGCGCUAGUAGCCCGGAAAGAGUAGUGGCUCUGUGGAGCCAAUGUUAAGUGUACACGGCUUGGCUGACAAGUCUCAGAGAUGUCCCCAAAGCCGCGGCCAACGGCAAGCAGGAGAGGAGACACGUCAAGCGCUUCCUUCACUUUAUGUGGGCCAACACAGACAGUCCCCUGGCAGCUGCUGGCUCAUUACCCAAAAACACUUAAAAUUUAACAUAGAAGCCAAUACUCACAUCAACCUCUGAACCCAGUUGGAGAUAGAAAAAAAGACACCAGCCGUGAGUGAGAAGAAGCAAGGGUCCAGAUUUAUUGUUCCGUUCCACCACACGAGAUCCACACCGAUGAGAAUUCUCAGAAGUGAUCUGAUACCCUGAGCUUAAGCUCCAGUAUUUAUACUGUAAUUACACAGUAAAUAACCCAUAUGUUUCAAGAAGACUAUGAUCUCAAUACCAAUAGGGUUAAAAAAGAGCUAUUCAACUUACCAUUAGCUCAAAAAACAGGGCUUUUCAACUUACAAAUAUAAUCAAAACCAAGGGUUUUCAAAUAACCAUUAGCUUCAAAAGUGGAGAGAUAAAACAAUCUAGAGUGACCUUGGUCUUACUAUUAUCUCGCUGGGGGGGCAGCUUGACUCAGCUACCCUUAUAAAUGGCUCCUCAUGGUUUUCUCUUAAAAUUAAGGCCUUCCUUGCGAGACAAGAAUCUUCACCAUCUGAAUUAUGAGUAAGUUACAUUUUCCUGUAUUUCUAGUUUAUAAUUUAUUUUCAUAUUUGCUCUAUAUCUCUAUUUUAUAUAUAGUUAUACUGCUUGAAAAACGAUUUACUGUACUUCCUACUUCAUAAAAUCAUUAUAUUACCCUUCUACUGUCCUACAUAUCCUACUAUUCUGUAUUUUAUAGAGUUUUCUAUUAUUAUAAGAUAUUACCCUUAUAAUAUCUUAAUACUCCUUUUUAUUAUUCUUAUAAAGUUAUAAUGUUAUGUGUGUGUGUGUGUGUGUAUGUGUGUGUAUUAUGUUUACAUGCCCGCCCUUGACUGUACGAGAGUGUGUGUGUAAGUGUGUGUGUGUGUGUGUGUGUGUGUCUGUGUUAGCACUCCUCAGCUCUUAUACUUCUGUUUGACUCUUCGACUAAUAAACCAUAGUGUAGUACUCUUAAAGAUCUUUAAAGUGUAAAUCCAAUUUGUCAAUAUCCGCCAAAUACCGCUUGUG